AUAAGUUUAUCAAAACUGCUUUGGCAAAGGGAUCAGUUGUUAUUGAUGUUGGUGUGUCGAAAGAGGAGCUUUGUUAUGGUAUGGUGAAAGACGCUUGUGAGAAAUUUGGU
rnacentral:sRNA from 1 species